rnacentral:sRNA from 1 species
UUUUUCUUCACUUUUUUUUUUUGGUUUUGUGUU